CUUUGCCUCAGUGUGUGCCCGGCGAGAGAGGAGGAGGGUGCGUUUCUCUGUCUCAAGGUUUGGUGAGGUGAAGCAGUGUCGUGAAGUCAAGCCGUGACGUCACCUUGCCGCCAUGUUGACUACCCGACUGAUAUAGAAGAGGACCAGGUUGAUGCCACAAUGCUGCACCUUCCACGCUCCUGCCAGACGCCACUCCUGCGCCAUCUUGGUAUGUGGAGGAAAGUCGUGGAAGAGGGAAGGAGGAAGAUAAAAGGAGGGAAGAUUAGCGUUCGUGUCCAGGAGAAGUAACAUUUGGCUGCGUGAGGAAGACGACGAGCGGAAGAAAACGGAAGUUACCUGGGCUGCACCGAAAACAGGUGUGUGGCAGGUAACCCCGGCUACCUCCCCUCCCCCUUGUACACGCAUAUUCUCCCUGCCGCUGGAUGUCAAUGUGCAAAGGGGAGGGAAAGGGAGGGGUAGUCGGGGUUACCUGCCACUUGCUUGGACCGGUGUAGGUAAACUGGGAGAGUAGGGGGGAGGGGGGUAUGUGAGGUCAGUAAAUUAAUGAGCGCAGUAAGGGAUAA